ensembl:lncRNA
CUGUUCAGUUGGAUCUGACUCCGCCCCCAGCUGCACGUGGGGGGCGUGGCCUCCAGCGGGCCCUUUUUUAGCCACUCCUGCGGCAGGAGAGGUCUUUUUCUCAAGUUCCUGCAAGGGACCGGAUUGGCCCCUUUGGGUCAUGUGCCCAUCCAGGCACCGAGGCGGGCGCUUGGGGCACCGUGAUUGGAUGGACUUGGGUCACGUGCCGCCUCUGAAGGAGGGGGAGGGCUAGGUGGCUCGCAGCUGCGCUGGCUCAGGGACGCGCUCCCCUCGGAAGUGCUGGGGUGAGCAGGGGGGGGACGACCUCUCUCCCUGCUUCAGCGCACAGCCGCCUAUGAGGAAGGCACCAGUGUCACCCCAACCCCACAGAGAAGGCGGGGACGCUCGGGGUGUCUUAGUUGCUUGUCCCAAGUCACAGCAGGAAGUGGUAGACUUUCUUAAUGGGGGAGAAGAGGGCUGUGAGGCGCGCGGCGUGUUGCCAUCUGCUUCGUGGACCUCUGCCUGGGCCGCGUCGGAGGGUUUCUCUCCGGGAGAGGCGAGUGGCUCCGUGAGUGGGAGCAGGUCCUAUAUGAUAGACUGUGGCUAGAGGACUGAUCUUGGGGUCAUCGAACUGCGUGGGUGCAGUAGACGUGCAAAUAGUGGACUUUGACUUUCUGAGCCUCGGCUUUCCUCGUCUGCGGAAAGGGAGCGGUAGCAGCCCACGCCAGCAUCACUGGGAGGAUUCAGCGAGUUAAUGUUUGCAGAAGUCCUUUGGAAACGGUGGUGGCCCCAUGGGUUUGCUUUUCCCCUACUCCGGACCCCUUCCCCACUCCUUACUGUCAAGGUGGCGCCCAGAAGCGUCUGCUUUCUGCAGUGCUGAUGUGACGAAUCUGUUGGAUGGCGUUGGGUUAAGAGUGGUCCUCUGGGACCCAGAAUAGCUAACAGUGGCCACCCGUCGAGUGUCCCAGCCACCGGGGACUUCCCAUGCAGUCACCUCACCCUCACCUUACUCCCCAAGGUGGAUGGAUGCGACGGCCUGGAGAUGCCGAGGGCUGUCCUGCCAGCUCGUGGGGAGACCCCGUCCACCAGCAGCGUGGAAGCAGCAGGGCCAGGAGAUGGAGAAUCCAGAGAGAUUUCUUCACCUACAGGACCCAGCUGGGCAUGUCUCUGGACUUCUCAGUAAGUUCCGGAAGAAGAGGGUUUUCCGACAGUGGCUGCGGCAGGCAGGCCCCAAAGGCAGUUGUCAGUGAUUAUGAAGUAUCUACGAAGCGGAGCAGCCUCUCGUCUCCAGCCUUCGGGGACCAGGAUGAGGGAAAAGAGAAGCAUGAUUCCUACCGACCAAGUUCUGUGAGGAUGAACUUUCAGGACGAGAGAGCGUGGGUGAGGCCGGGCGAGAUCCCUGUGCGGGGGACCAAGCCUUGAAUGGAGCGGGUGGCCCGUCCUUGGGGGUUUCUGAGGAUCCCUGGCAUUUCAGAGGGAAAUCUCAACUUCUCCCCUGCAUUUGUUUUAAAAUCCUCUCAUCCUUGGGGCGCCUGGGUGGCGCAGUCGGUUAAGCGUCCGACUUCAGCCAGGUCACGAUCUCGCGGUCCGUGAGUUCAAGCCCCGCGUCAGGCUCUGGGCUGAUGGCUCAGAGCCUGGAGCCUGUUUCCGAUUCUGUGUCUCCCUCUCUCUCUGCCCCUCCCCCGUUCAUGCUCUGUCUCUCUCUGUCCCAAAAAUAAAUAAACGUUGAAAAAAAAAAUUAAAAAAAAA